GUGUCAGCAGCCGCGGUAAGACGAACCGUGCGAACGUUGUUCGGAAUCACUGGGCUUAAAGGGCGCGUAGGCGGUCUGUCAAGUCGGUGGUGAAAUCUUUCGGCUCAACCGGAAAACUGCCAUCGAUACUGACAGGCUGGAGGGAGGUAGGGGUUGCGGGAACUACCAGUGGAGCGGUGAAAUGCGUUGAUAUUGGUAGGAACGCCGGUGGCGAAAGCGCGCAACUGGACCUCUUCUGACGCUGAGGCGCGAAAGCUAGGGGAGCAAACGGGAUUAGAAACCCUAGUAGUCC
rnacentral:rRNA from 1 species